AAUUUACAUAAAAAAUCUUAACAUGUGACAAAGGGACUCUACAGAUUAUCAAAAUUCUAAUACUAUAAGAGUUUCAACCUGUCCAUAACUACAACCCUGCUUUGCUUGUAUGCAGCCUAAACUAUGUCAUACUAAGAGGUGCACUGUAUUUUUCCUCUUGACUUGCUUAUAUGCAGCUUAAACUAUGUCAUACUAAGAAGUGCAUGGUCUAUGUUUCCUUUUUCUUUGCUUGUAUACAGCUUAAGCUAUGCCAGAUAAAAGGUGUACUCUCUACUCUUCCUCUUCUAUGUGAGGCAGAGGUGAAGCCACGAUCCAUCAGAUAUAGGAGGAGUAACCAGACACAUAUACUGCCUAUCUGUGCAUAUUUACAAGAGGCACAGAACCAGGUAGCGCUGCAGAACAACCUCAGGCAUUGCUGCAUAGGAAUACUCAUAGAGGAGGAGGAGGAAAAGGAUGUCAUGCAUUAUAUAUGGCUGUUUCACACUGGAUGCAAUACCAACUACACUGCGGAAGGAAACCAGCAUGACCUCCAACAGCUGGGGUCAUUUUAGUGGCAAUGUUAUGUACCCAAACUGUCGACACCUUGAUUUUAGUUGCACUGUUAUGUAUCCAAAUGAUCACCAGCUUAAUUUUUGCUGACAUAGCUUCCUUCAGGCAUGUAUAUUAGUCUUUAGCAGGUCAGUUGAAGUGAGGAAAGUGAUCUAGGGGCCGUUUUCACAGUCAUUUUGUUUGUUUUGAUCGUUAACAAUGGCGGUGAUCGCUGCGAUAGUAUUUCCACGUCAAACUGGCCGAUGGGGAAGUGGCGGCUGCGGGAUUAGCUUAGCCCCGCACCUUGCCACACACUCUCAACACCUCUCACUUCCUCUGCAGCCACCACUACCCCAUAGGCCAGUUUCACGUGGAAAACUAUAGCAGAGAUCGCCGCCAUCGGUAAUGAUCAAAACAAACAAAGUAACUGUGAAAGCAGCUCCUAGUCUCAUCCAAAACCUCUUUAGUGUUAGGUCUUCAGUAUGUGACUGUGAAAACUACUGGCAAUAAGAGUCAAAAUCAGAGGUUGAGUUAUUAGACAUUUCUUUCAGUGCACAUAAUAACUUAUCGAGCAUCGUGAGUGUGUAGCCGCAGUGCACUGAGCAUCGCAUCCCGUGUCAAACAGCCAAGAAACGAGAGACAGAAAAAGAUGGAAUGAAAGAAAAGAGGAACUGUGAGGAAAACUGAGGAGGAAAGAGAGAACUUACAGCAACCAUAAAUGUGGUAAGCGCCAUAUGAGGAGACCUACAGAAAAGACAUGGAGGUUAUUAUUCCUGUGCUGGCGGUGGAGAUAAUUAGUGUUAUUAAACGUUCCUUCACUGAUGACACGUUUCCCUCGCCUCAACAACAGCCAACUCACGGCACAGAACAAUUUGGAGUCUUCUGUCAAGCCAUAUGUGCCAUCCCUAUUAGUCCCCAUAUCAGGAAUGAAACUACUCUUAAAAAUUAUCCUCGGGUAAAAAUGUUUGGAAAAAUAGAUAAGGAAAAAAAAGUAUCUACCUUCAUAAUGGCAAUGGUUGAUUCUUAUAUCUCAGGUCUAUUUCAAAAGUAGAUUUUUUCCUAAUUUUUCUUCAUUCAUUAUAGGAAAUUGAAACAAGGACAGAAGAUAAGUAAAAGCCUGCAACAUGGUUCUCAAUAUUACAUGAAGGAGAGGAAGGAGUCAUAAUGCGAGAUCAAAUUAAGUUCAAAGUGUUCAAAUUUUUGCACUUCUAUAAAGUCUAAGUCAUAGGAAGGCUGUUUGAGAAUGCGUUUACCAAUGAAAGGUAUGAAAGAAUGAAGAUCCUGAUUAACUCUUGCAUUAGGGAGUUGGACAGCACAGGGAUGGGCUUGAGUGGAUUGAUUGAUUUAAAUUAGGCGCCGCAACAGCCAGGGUCAUAUGGCGCCGAGCUUGAGUGGAAAGAAAGUCUUGUGUGAGUGAACUGUCAAACACACCCUGCCAAUGUAAUGACAAAACAGCUCGAAAUGUGAACCUGCAGCUACUUUCAGAAGAUAGCAAUUAUUGUACAGGCACACAAAAUGAUUAAUCAGCGACAAGUAUUGCACGGGAAAGGUGUCAACAGGAAUGGCUUCAGACCAGUCCCCUGAACCUCCUCACUGGUGGCGGCAAAGGCUGUGUGUGUGAGUGCUUUUGAUGGUGUUGUGAUAAAGCUUCUUCAGGCAUAAGACGGUGUAACAAAGAAGUCAACAGUGAUGACGGCUGGGCAUAUACUGUUUUGUGAUCCGUGUCUGCAUCUGUGUCUGUGGUAUAGAAAUUAGUUUUUUUUAUUGUUGUUGAUAGUUUCUACAGUUAAGGAAGCAGCUUACCGGAAAAAAGGACCAUGUAGUGUGCAUAAAAAAAGUUUAAAAAAAAAUGUAUGUUAGGUGUUCAUCAAAUAUGGCUUUAGGCUUAACUGAACUUCUGAGGGAGGGCAAUAAUAAAGGGAAGAGAAGUGUUGCAAUCACCACCUGACCCAUGGCUGUGGUAAGGUCAAUGGAUGCUUCUACACUUUCCCUACCGAUAUCACUCCCCCUGACAUGAAUACAGACACAGACACAGACGCAGGAACACCCCAGCCACAGACUCACAGAAGCACAGACUUGGUGAAGCAAAUAGUACAUGAAGCUUCAUUAUAACAUUCACUUACUCUGCAAAAAAAAGUAUCAAUGUUCAAAAAGUAAAAAUAAGUGCUGGAUCAAAAUCAGAACAGUGAAUUGUGAGUUACGUAUAUAAAGUGAUGAUGCCAAACUUCUGUAACC